GGGAUGAGAAGUGAUUCCUUCCACGGGUGACGCUUCGGAAGCCUUAGCAGCCUGAAAGGGUGGCCCUCAACGACAAUAAAUAAAUUAAGAGGCGCUGAAAUGCUAGUCAGCACGCAAGUACUGGCGACACCGUCAAAUUGCGGGGAUCCCCUAAAGAUUUUUGCUACCAAGCAGCGCCGGGAAACCGAGCUGUGGCCAGGGUAAUGACCUCGGGUAUG
rnacentral:rRNA from 1 species